rfam:Lupinus angustifolius cultivar Tanjil contig_15222, whole genome shotgun sequence.
AGAGACAUAUGUAGCCAAGAACAACUUGCCAGAUUAUAAGCAAUCAUAAAAUGAAUGUAUUCCGGCAAGUCAUUCUUGGCUGCAAUUCACUCUCU